GGACCCCGCGGCGCGGCUCCAGGGCCGGCUCCAGGUGCGGCUCCAGCUCCACGGCGGGCUCCCGGCGGGGCCGGGCCAGCGGGGACGCCGGGUCGAGGGCCAGGAGGGGCUGCGCGCGGACGCGGAGAGCCUGCGGGAAGGGCGCUGCGCCGAGAUGCUCCGGCCCAGAUGUGGUCAAGCGAAGAGGGAGGCCGGACACCCGGGGGCUGCCGCCGCCGCCGCCGCUGCUGCUACGAGGAGGGGGCUGGGCGCAGAACUGCGGCUCCGGCGGGGGGGCCACUCCCGGGGCUGUCACCGACACUGUGGAGGCGCCGCCGCGGCCGCACGGGAAGGGGUUUCGCUUGGCCCCGCCCCCUCCCGCAACAAGCCCCGCCCUCUGCAGAACCAGGCCCCGCCUCUCCUUCGCCGGCACCGCCCCGGUCUCGGCCUCCCGCUGCGGUUCUCCGGGGGGCUCUGCACUCUGCCAGCUCUUUCCAGGCCCUAAGCCGUCGCCCUUUCCCGCCCCCGCAGCCAGAAGCCACGCCUAUAGUUUAAAUAAUGCCUUGAAGCCACGCCUAUCUGGCGACCCGCAAUACAUAGCCACGCCCAUUCCCCCUCCCUUCCCGCGGCGGUCCGCAGAGUCGGCCCCGCCCUCCCUCCGGCCAGGCCCCGCCCCCUGCUCGCUCUCCAGGCCAGCCGCCUGCUUCCAGUUUCUCUGCCCGGGGACACAGACCGCAAGGCUGCGUCUUGGACUCUGCCAGCCUUGGCAUCCCGCAGGGGCGGCUCGCUCGGCUCUCUUAAAGGGACCGACUACCUAAAAUCACCAGAUGAUCUACUUAAUUCUCCCCAGGGUCGCUGGCUCCCUUGGAAAGCUCUCACUUCCUCUCAGCAAAAGGGGAAAAAAAAAUUCUUGUAGCUGCAGAGGCUUCUACCCAGGAAGUCUCAGCACGUGAUUUCAUUCAUUCACUCAGCAGAUAUUUAUUAAGCGCCUACUGGGUGUAGGGCCCUGCGGCAAGCUCAGGCCUGCCCGGCUUCUGCAAUGCUUCUCUAGCCCGACUGCCUAACGUGAAGGAAGAUUCUGCAGAGGCUUGGCCAUUGCUUCCCCCACCUCACACCCAGCUGCUCUUCUGGGCCGCGCCCAAGCAGAAUUAGGGCAUCUGCACUGUCCCCCCCACCCCCACCCCUUGCACGUGCACACGCAUGCACACG
rnacentral:lncRNA from 1 species